rnacentral:rRNA from 1 species
GACGUAGGGUGCGAGCGUUGUCCGGAUUUAUUGGGCGUAAAGAGCUCGUAGGCGGCUCGUCGCGUCGACCGUGAAAACCCGCAGCUUAACUGCGGGCUUGCGGUUGAUACGGGCGGGCUAGAGUUCGGUAGGGGAGACUGGAAUUCCUGGUGUAGCGGUGAAAUGCGCAGAUAUCAGGAGGAACACCGGUGGCGAAGGCGGGUCUCUGGGCCACUACUGACGCUGAGAAGCGAAAGCAUGGGGAGCGAACGGG